GUUGUCAUCUGCAGUCAUGAGCCUUUUGACUCUCCAGUAUGGACAGUGUGGUAUUCAAGUAGGUGAAUCCCUUUACUCCACAAUCUUUGAAGACGUUAAAAACGAUAACAGUUCAUACUCAAUGCAAUCGUUGAAUAAAUGGUUCAAUAUUUCAUGCAAUGGAAAAUAUGAACCUCGAUCAAUUCUAAUCGAUACUGAAACCAAAGUCAUAAACAGUCGACAGAAAACCACAUAUGGUUUCGAAAAUAUAAUUGCUGGGUGUCAUGGAGGUAGUGCAAAUAACUGGGCAUUCGGUUACAACGUUAAUAGUUACACACUUAUCGACUUAAUUCUUGAUAAAGUCAGGAUAGAGACUGAAAAAUCAGAUUACAUGCAAUCUUUUUUGAAUAUCGCAAGUUCAUCUGGUGGAACAGGUUCAGGUAUUGGAUGUAAAGUUGUUGAAGAGUUAAAAGAUGGAUAUCCAAACAAGUUGAUAAUAAACGCUAUUGUUUUACCUUACUUGAAUGGGGAAAUUAUCACACAGAACUAUAACACAAUACUUUCUUUAGCAAAGCUCCAUGAAAUGUCUGAUAUUGGAAUCCUAUUCGAAAAUGACCAGAUACAUGAACUUUGCACAGAAAGAGUGCAUGACAGUGUCAACUUUUCAGAUUUGAACAAAUUGAUAGCUUUCCAACUAGCUUCAAUUUUUCAACCGAUAGCAGAUGAGAAUAAUGCAGUUUUUUUGAGCCAUUGUUCUUCCCACCCUAUCUUCAAGUACCUCCGAUUAAGAUCUUCAUAUCGCAGUUCCAAACAUCCCAAAUUUGAGGCAAGUCAAUGCUGGAAGUCAUUAUUGAAUCACACAAUCAGACAAACAAACUAUGAAAUAAAAUUAUGGAAAAACUCUCCCAUGAAAGUUCAGGAAAAAAACAUUGUUUCUGCUAUAAUCACCAGAGGUUUAGAUAAACCUGAAAGUCGAGAGUUUGACAAUUUGAAAUCACUUAGGAAUUUUGUCUGUUGGAUGCCCCGUGAAGAUUGUUUCUCGGAGCGUCAUGAAGCUACGAAAUUGUGUGGAAAUGAUAAGACUAUAACGAUUGUUAAAAAUGGCAAUGGCUUUUGUUAUUAUUUAAACUCUAUUAUCGCAGAUGCAUGGAACUUAUUUACCAAAAGGGCAUAUUUACAUCACUAUCAGAAGUAUGAUGUUGGAGAAAUUGAAUUUCGGGAAUCUUUCCAACUCAUGGAGAAUGUACUUGCAGCAUAUGAGCAUUUGUGAUUUUGUAAUGCAUCAUACUUUUUGAAUAAAGAACUGUCUUCGUCAUAGCUUUCUUCAACACUAUACAAAUGAGAAUUGAAGUUUGCCUUGGACAGAAGAUGAAAAAAAGGACCUCCUAGUAGCUCUAGAACGUCAUGGCCCUAAUAAUUUGGAGGAAAUCCAAAAAUAUCUGCCCCUCAAGUCUGUUACAGAGAUAAGAAGCACAAUUCAGAAGUAUAAACAGA